rnacentral:pre_miRNA from 2 species
GUUGGUAUCGCAAGCUCGGUGUGGAGUUUCUUACUGUGUUUUUGAACCAGAGGUAGGAACUUCAUACCAUGCUCGUGUUUACGAACU